GGGCAUGCUGGGAGUUGUAGUUUUGCAACAUCUGGAGGUCCGCAGAUUGAAGACCACUGCAUAGGAGGUAAUACUCACGUGUCCCCGCUGCUCCGAACCCGUCCCCGCUGCCCUGGAUGUCGCUCCAUCGCUGUCGCCGUGUCCCCGUCGCUCUGGAACGUCUCUGCUGCCGGCCGGGUAUCCUCGCUCUCCGUCGCCGUCACGACAACGUGAUGACGAGGAAGGAGAGCGCCGGCCAUACAGGGGAUCCCUGAAUGGAGAAGACACCGAGGAGUCAGGUGAUGAGCCUGUGCCGACAGAUCUCUCCCACAGUAUCAACACAGACAUACAGGUAAAUACAUGCUAGGAUCUACAACAUGCCCAAAGGCUCUGGGCCUAUGACCUCUACUCAUAAAAUGUGGGAAAGGCAUAGCAAGGAAAUCCCGGCAGUUUGUAUGACACAGAGAAAUGAGAUGAAUAAGGGGAAGGAAUAUCCAGCAAUGCACACUGUGACCUGAGAAUGAAGAAUAUCAAAUAUCCUGAGUUUCCUCCCUCCCUUUACUUGCACAGAUCCAACAAACUGCAGACGUUUUACGGUUUUCCUAAAAUCCAUUGCGUUGGCAGGUCUGAUGUAAUUGUUUUAGCAGAGACUGUUUCUAUAGGAGGAUCUCCAGUAAGAGGCACAUGAAGAGGUUACUUUGCAGGGCUUUGUUAUACCAAUAAGCAUUAGCUCUCUGAAGAAAAUAAAAUGCUGUCUGCCUGACCAAAUUCUUUUAUAAAACCACCCGAUUCUAUGUGUGUAACGUAAAACAUGCUCAAAAGCCAUAAGCAAAACAUACUGUAUUAUAUAGUUUCUGUAAAAAAAAAUAUAAGGUGACGCACAGAGAAAUGGGAACUAUUAUCAGUUUGUAUUAAACACCUUGCAGUAGCUAGAAUAUUUUAGUGGCAUGUAUGGCAAAGCAGUAUGAAUUGUGAAUGGGAGAAAAAGUAGCCAAGGCAUAUUACAAAUAACAUAGUAAAUGCUGCUGUGUGAGAAUUGGUGCUCCAUAAAUGCUCCUCCAGACAGCACUAUGAACCAGGCACUUCACCCGCUGCUGCUAUGAGUCUGGUGUCUUGAGGUUUAACAUCUACAAUCAAGUCAGGAGAUGCUGCCAAGUGCGAGUAUGGACACUGCCCUCUCCAUCUACUAGCACAGAGGCCACACAUCAU